CAGGGCGACGUGUGGGGCACAGGGUGAGGUGUGGGGCACAGGGUGAGGUGUGGGGCACAGGGUGAGGCGUGGGGCACAGGACGAGGCAUGGGGCACAGGACAGUGUGGGGCACAGGGCGAGGUGUGGGGCACAGGGCGACGUGUGGGGCACAGGGUGAGGUGUGGGGCAAAGGACGAGGCAUGGGGCACAGGACAGUGUAGGGCACAGGGUGAGGUGUGGGGCACAGAACAGUGUGGGGCACAGGGCGAGGUGUGGGCACAGGGUGAGGUGUGGGGCACAGAACGGCGUGGGGCACAGGGUGAGGUGUGGGGCACAGGGUGAGGUGUGGGGCACAGGGCGAGGCGUGGGGCACAGGGCAAGGACGAGGCAUGGGGCACAGGAUGAGGUG